rnacentral:rRNA from 1 species
UGGGGAAUAUUGGACAAUGGGCGAAAGCCUGAUCCAGCCAUGCCGCGUGUGUGAAGAAGGUCUUCGGAUUGUAAAGCACUUUAAGUUGGGAGGAAGGGCAGUAAGCGAAUACCUUGCUGUUUUGACGUUACCGACAGAAUAAGCACCGGCUAACUCUGUGCCAGCAGCCGCGGUAAUACAGAGGGUGCAAGCGUUAAUCGGAAUUACUGGGCGUAAAGCGCGCGUAGGUGGUUCGUUAAGUUGAAUGUGAAAGCCCCGGGCUCAACCUGGAAACUGCAUCCAUAUCUGGCGAGCUAGAGUAGGGCAGAGGGUGGUGGAAUUUCCUGUGUAGCGGUGAACUGCGUAGAUAUAGGAAGGAACACCAGUGGCGAAGGCGACCACCUGGACUCAUACUGACACUGAGGUGCGAAAGCGUGGGGAGCAAACAGG